GACGAACCGUGCGAACGUUGUUCGGAGUCAUUGGGCUUAAAGGGCGCGUAGGCGGGUCGGCAAGUCAGGGGUGAAAUCCCACGGCUCAACCGUGGAAGUGCCUCUGAUACUGCCGGCCUCGAGGGGGGUAGGGGCGUGCGGAACUUCCGGUGGAGCGGUGAAAUGCGUAGAUAUCGGAAGGAACACCGGUGGCGAAAGCGGCGCGCUGGACCCCUUCUGACGCUGAGGCGCGAAAGCCAGGGGAGCAAACGGG
rnacentral:rRNA from 1 species